ACCUAACUGACGAGCCCAAAAUAGGACGAAACAUUCCUCCUAGAU
rnacentral:hammerhead_ribozyme from 1 species